rnacentral:rRNA from 1 species
GACGAACGCUGGCGGCGUGCCUAAUACAUGCAAGUUGAGCGCUGAAGGUUGGUACUUGUACCAACUGGAUGAGCAGCGAACGGGUGAGUAACGCGUGGGGAAUCUGCCUUUGAGCGGGGGACAACAUUUGGAAACGAAUGCUAAUACCGCAUAAAAACUUUAAACACAAGUUUUAAGUUUGAAAGAUGCAAUUGCAUCACUCAAAGAUGAUCCCGCGUUGUAUUAGCUAGUUGGUGAGGUAAAGGCUCACCAAGGCGAUGAUACAUAGCCGACCUGAGAGGGUGAUCGGCCACAUUGGGACUGAGACACGGCCCAAACUCCUACGGGAGGCAGCAGUAGGGAAUCUUCGGCAAUGGACGAAAGUCUGACCGAGCAACGCCGCGUGAGUGAAGAAGGGUUUCGGAUCGUAAAGCUCUGUUGGUAGAGAAGAACGUUGGUGAGAGUGGAAAGCUCAUCAAGUGACGGUAACUACCCAGAAAGGGACGGCUAACUACGUG